CAGAGGGUAGUUUAAGUAGAAAUA
rnacentral:tRNA from 1 species